GCGAGUGAAGCGGUAAAAGCUCAAAUUUGAAAUCUGGUACUUUCAGUGCCCGAGUUGUAAUUUGUAGAAUUUGUCUUUGAUUAGGUCCUUGUCUAUGUUCCUUGGAACAGGACGUCAUAGAGGGUGAGAAUCCCGUUUGGCGAGGAUACCUUUUCUCUGUAAGACUUUUUCGAAGAGUCGAGUUGUUUGGGAAUGCAGCUCAAAGUGGGUGGUAAAUUCCAUCUAAAGCUAAAUAUUGGCGAGAGACCGAUAGCGAACAAGUACAGUGAUGGAAAGAUGAAAAGAACUUUGAAAAGAGAGUGAAAAAGUACGUGAAAUUGUUGAAAGGGAAGGGCAUUUGAUCAGACAUGGUGUUUUUUGCAUGCACUCGCCUCUCGUGGGCUUGGGCCUCUCAAAAAUUUCACUGGGCCAACAUCAAUUCUGGCAGCAGGAUAAAUCAUUAAGAAUGUAGCUACUUCGGUAGUGUUAUAGCUUUUUGGAAUACUGUUAGCCGGGAUUGAGGACUGCGCUUCGGCAAGGAUGUUGGCAUAAUGGUUAAAUGCCGCCCGUCU
rnacentral:rRNA from 1 species